CCAGACUCCUACGGGAGGCAGCAGUGAGGAAUAUUGGUCAAUGGCCGAGAGGCUGAACCAGCCAAGUCGCGUGAGGGAUGACGGCCCUACGGGUUGUAAACCUCUUUUGUCGGGGAGCAAAGAGAGUCACGUGUGGCUCAUUGAGAGUACCCGAAGAAAAAGCAUCGGCUAACUCCGUGCCAGCAGCCGCGGUAAUACGGAGGAUGCGAGCGUUAUCCGGAUUUAUUGGGUUUAAAGGGUGCGCAGGCGGAGGUGCAAGUCAGUGGUCAAAUUGCGGGGCUCAACCCCGUACUGCCGUUGAAACUGGCGGGCUGGAGUUGGAGAGAAGUACGCGGAAUGCGCGGUGUAGCGGUGAAAUGCUUAGAUAUCGCGCAGAACCCCGAUUGCGAAGGCAGCGUACCGGCUCCACACUGACGCUGAGGCACGAAAGCGUGGGUAUCGAACAGGAUUAGAUACCCCUGUA
rnacentral:rRNA from 1 species